rfam:Schistosoma curassoni strain Dakar, Senegal genome assembly, scaffold: SCTD_scaffold0000349
AUCCAGCUGACGAGUCUCAAAAAUGACGAAACGCGUGUCCUAGAU